rnacentral:rRNA from 1 species
CGUGUAGGCGGGAAUACAAGUCAGAUGUGAAAUACUGUGGCUCAACCACAGAACGGCAUCUGAAACUGUAUAUCUUGAGUACUGGAGAGGAAAGCGGAAUUCCUAGUGUAGCGGUGAAAUGCGUAGAUAUUAGGAGGAACACCGGUGGCGAAGGCGGCUUUCUGGACAGUAACUGACGCUGAGACGCGAAAGCGUGGGGAGCAAACAGGAUUAGAUACCCUGGUAGUCC